UUCAUGUGUCACUAGUAAUUUCAACAGGGGAGACGGUUCUCAGGAUUUGAAGAGCAAAAAGGGUGCUGCAACUGUAGUAAGACGGCGUUUGACAACCAAUGUUCCGCGGUAUGUUGAUGAUGAGAUUUUCUCAGACGAGAGUUGUGGAGAAAUGGAUCCUUCUUAUUGGACAGAUGGGGAGAAGUCUCUUUUCAUAGAAGCAGUGUCAGUUUAUGGGAAGAAUUUCUCAAUGAUCUCUACCCAUGUAGGAUCAAAAUCCGCG
rnacentral:misc_RNA from 1 species